rnacentral:rRNA from 1 species
GACGAGCGCUGGCGGCGUGCCUAAUACAUGCAAGUAGAACGCUGAAGAGAGGAGCUUGCUCUUCUUGGAUGAGUUGCGAACGGGUGAGUAACGCGUAGGUAACCUGCCUUGUAGCGGGGGAUAACUAUUGGAAACGAUAGCUAAUACCGCAUAACAAUGGAUGACACAUGUCAUUUAUUUGAAAGGGGCAAUUGCUCCACUACAAGAUGGACCUGCGUUGUAUUAGCUAGUAGGUGAGGUAACGGCUCACCUAGGCGACGAUACAUAGCCGACCUGAGAGGGUGAUCGGCCACACUGGGACUGAGACACGGCCCAGACUCCUACGGGAGGCAGCAGUAGGGAAUCUUCGGCAAUGGGGGCAACCCUGACCGAGCAACGCCGCGUGAGUGAAGAAGGUUUUCGGAUCGUAAAGCUCUGUUGUAAGUCAAGAACGAGUGUGAGAGUGGAAAGUUUACACUGUGACGGUAGCUUACCAGAAAGGGACGGCUAACUACGUG